rnacentral:misc_RNA from 1 species
UCCGAGUUGACCCCGGCAGUCUCGCAUGAGUUCCCGGCAUUACCCGCUGGCAACAUGCGAUGGGGGUUGCGCUCGUUGCGGGACUUAACCCAACACCUCACGACACGAGCUGACGACAGCCAUGCAGCACCUGUGCAGGAUCUCCGAAGAGGGGCUCUCGUUUCUGAGAGCUUGCUCCUGCAUGUCAAGCCUAGGUAAGGUUCUUCGCGUUGCGUCGAAUUAAACCACAUGCUCCGCCGCUUGUGCGGGCCCCCGUCAAUUCCUUUGAGUUUUAGCCUUGCGGCCGUACUCCCCAGGCGGGGCACUUAAUGCGUUAGCUACGGCACGGAACCCGUCGAUAGAGUCCCACACCUAGUGCCCAACGUUUACGGCGUGGACUAC